GACGUCCUAGCAGAAUUUCUAGAGCUCGUUAAUCAUAUCACACAAACAGGCUUGUUAAGUCUACCAGAAAGGACUGCAGAUUCAGAUAAAGGCCCUACAGAAGUGUUGGUUGUUGAAGAUCAGACAUUUGCAGUUGUA